rnacentral:rRNA from 1 species
CCUACGGGUGGCUGCAGUGAGGAAUAUUGGUCAAUGGGCGCGAGCCUGAACCAGCCAAGCAGCGUGAAGGAUGACUGCCCUACGGGUUGUAAACCUCUUUUAUAAAGGAAUAAAGUGAGGCACGUGUCCCUUUCUGCAUGUACUUUAUGAAUAAGGAUCGGCUAACUCCGUGCCAGCAGCCGCGGUAAUACGGAGGAUCCGAGCGUUAUCCGGAUUUAUUGGGGUUAAAGGGAGCGUAGAUGGGUUGUUAAGUCAGUUGUGAAAUUUUGCGGCUCAACCGUAAAAUUGCAAUUGAUACUGGCAGUCUUGAGUACAGGUGAGGUAGGCGGAAUGCGUGGUGUAGCGGUGAAAUGCUUAGAUAUCGCGAAGAACUCCGAUUGCGAAGGCAGCUUACUAAACUGCCACUGACAUUGAUGCACGAAAGUGUGGGUAUCAAACAGGAUUAGAUACCCGAGUAGUC